rnacentral:rRNA from 1 species
AAGCUUGCUUUUCUGAAUCUAGUGGCGAACGGGUGAGUAACACGUAGGUAACCUGCCCAUGUGCCCGGGAUAACUUCUGGAAACGGAUGCUAAAACCGGAUAGGUAGCAGACAAGCAUUUGACUGCUAUUAAAGUGGCCUUGGCCAUGAACAUGGAUGGACCUGCGGUGCAUUAGCUGGUUGGUGAGGUAACGGCCCACCAAGGCGACGAUGCAUAGCCGGCCUGAGAGGGCGGACGGCCACAUUGGGACUGAGACACGGCCCAAACUCCUACGGGAGGCAGCAGUAGGGAAUUUUCGUCAAUGGGGGGAACCCUGAACGAGCAAUGCCGCGUGAGUGAGGAAGGUCUUCGGAUCGUAAAGCUCUGUUGUAAGAGAAAAACGGCACUCAUAGGGAAUGAUGAGUGAGUGAUGGUAUCUUACCAGAAAGUCACGGCUAACUACGUGCCAGCAGCCGCGGUAAUACGUAGGUGGCGAGCGUUAUCCGGAAUGAUUGGGCGUAAAGGGUGCGUAGGUGGCAGAUCAAGUCUGGAGUAAAAGGUAUGGGCUCAACCCGUACUGGCUCUGGAAACUGAUCAGCUAGAGAACAGAAGAGGACGGCGAACUCCAUGUGUAGCGGUAAAAUGCGUAGAUAUAUGGAAGAACACCGGUGGCGAAGGCGGCCGUCUGGUCUGGAUUCUGACACUGAAGCACGAAAGCGUGGGGAGCAAAUAGGAUUAGAUACCCUAGUAGUCCACGCCGUAAACGAUGAGAACUAGGUGUUGGGGGAAUAACUCAGUGCCGCA